GACGAACGCUGGCGGCGUGCUUAACACAUGCAAGUCGAACGGAAAGGCCCUGCUUUUGUGGGGUGUUCGAGUGGCGAACGGGUGAGAAACACGUGAGUAACCUGCCCUUGACUUUGGGAUAACUGCAGGAAACUGGGGCUAAUACCGGAUAUUAGCCCCUGCUGCAUGGGGGGGGUUGGAAAGUUUCGGCGGUUGGGGAUGGACGCGGGGCUUAUCAGCUUGUUGGUGGGGUAGUGGCUGACGAAGGCUCUGACCGGUAGCCGGCCUGAGAGGGUGGCCGGCGACAUUGGGAAUGAGAUACGGCCCAGACGCCUACGGGAGGAAGCAGUGGGGAAUAGUGCACAAUGGGCGGAAGCCUGAUGCAGCAACGCCGGGUGCGGGAUGACGGACUUCGGGUUGUAAACCGCUUUCGCCUGUGACGAAGCGGGAGUGACGGUAAUGGGUAAAGAAGCACCGGCUAACUACGUG
rnacentral:rRNA from 1 species